rnacentral:rRNA from 1 species
UGGGGAAUUUUGCACAAUGGGGGAAACCCUGAUGCAGCGACGCCGCGUGAUUUAGAAGGCCUUCGGGUUGUAAAAAUCUUUUGUAUGGGAAGAAAAUGACAGUACCAUACGAAUAAGGACCGGCUAAUUACGUGCCAGCAGCCGCGGUAAUACGUAAGGUCCGAGCGUUGUCCGGAAUCAUUGGGCGUAAAGGGUACGUAGGCGGAUAAGCAAGUUAGAAGUGAAAUCCUAUAGCUCAACUAUAGUAAGCUUUUAAAACUGCUCAUCUUGAGGUAUGGAAGGGAAAGUGGAAUUCCUAGUGUAGCGGUGAAAUGCGCAGAUAUUAGGAGGAAUACCGGUGGCGAAGGCGACUUUCUGGACGACAACUGACGCUUAGGCGCGAAAGCGUGGGGAGCAAACAGG